UACGGAGGGGACUAGCGUUGUUCGGAAUUACUGGGCGUAAAGCGCACGUAGGCGGAUUUGUAAGUCAGGGGUGAAAUCCCGGGGCUCAACCUCGGAACUGCCUUUGAUACUGCAAAUCUCGAGUCCGGAAGAGGUGAGUGGAAUUCCUAGUGUAGAGGUGAAAUUCGUAGAUAUUAGGAAGAACACCAGUGGCGAAGGCGGCUCACUGGUCCGGUACUGACGCUGAGGUGCGAAAGCGUGGGGAGCAAAGCAGG
rnacentral:rRNA from 1 species